ACUGCGAGUGAAGCGGGAAAAGCUCAAAUUUAAAAUCUGGCGGUCCUCGCGGCCGUCCGAGUUGUAAUCUAGAGAAGCGUCAUCCGCGCAGGCCCGCGCACAAGUCUCUUGGAAUAGAGCAUCAUAGAGGGUGAGAAUCCCGUCUCUGGCGCGGAAGGCCGGUGCAGUGCGAUGCGCUCUCGACGAGUCGAGUUGUUUGGGAAUGCAGCUCAAAACGGGUGGUAAAUUCCAUCUAAAGCUAAAUAUUGGCGAGAGACCGAUAGCGAACAAGUACCGUGAGGGAAAGAUGAAAAGAACUUUGGAAAGAGAGUUAAACAGUACGUGAAAUUGUUGAAAGGGAAACGCUUGAAGUCAGUCGCGUACGUCGGUGAUCAGCCUUCUCUCGAGUCGGCGUAUUCUCCGACGAACGGGCC
rnacentral:rRNA from 1 species